CUUCAAAGGAUGAACCUGAUGGAUAUUUUUAGCUUUACUGGGCUAUUUUUGAUUACCGACGUGAUGCACAUUUUCUUUUAUGUGUCAUUGGUGAUUAUUAAUGUAGUUUUUGUGUCAAAUGUUUCGCUAAUAUCAAAAGGCAGAUAGCCAACUUACUAUUUUGGCAUUACAUCAGUUUGGUUUUUGAAGGGACCGUGUCAUGUAUGAAGUCAGGCCCGAAGUGAACAUGAAGUUAGCCUGUCAGUCAUCACACCGGAAGUCAACAUUGACAAGUUGUACAGGAUUAGCCAUCACAUUAACACAUGCAAAGGAGAUUUGGCUCUGGCAGCUGGGAUUGGAUCAGCGAGUGGUGACGUGAACCCGUUCUUUGUCAUGCGUCACAUUCCUUGCACCUCCCUUUCCCCCGGAAAGAGAUCCUGCAACCUCCCCCACGCCAGACACAUGGUUUUUGGCUCACAGGAGAUCACAGCACAAAGCUUUUGUUUUGUGUGACAGAGGUACUAGUGUUAGUGUGGCUUAACACUAUCUACCAUUUUUCAUCUGGUCUUUACAUGUAGGUUGUUGCAUAUCAAUCACAAGCAGCUGAGAGAUCAGCUUUCGUCUACUGAAACCACUCUGAAGACUGCAUGGCAAAUAUAGAGCUGGACCCAUAUCUCAUGGGUGGUCCAGGAGAAUACACCCAAGUAAAAUCUUGAAAAAGCUGUAAAUUGUUAUUAUUUCUUUUGAAGGUCUACAAAAAUCAACAAAUCAUAUGGCUGGAAGAAUUUGAGGCAAAAAGCUUAUAAUCUCAAUGUGUAAACAAAUAACAAAAAAACACAAUAAAUUAAAACAUUCAAGAGCUUUAUUGUCAUAUAGAUGUUGUGGUGGUGUGUUUUACAACUUCAAUUUAACUUAUUUAUUUGUAUAGCACAUUAAUUUCUAUUGCUUUACAUUUUAAAAACCUAUACAACAUAAAAUGAAAUUCGUAUUCUGCAAAUCCUCCAACAACCACAAACAUAAAUUCUAAGAAAAGAAAAAAAUCAUUUGUUGAUACUAAUGAUAUAAACAAAACCUGGUUCUAGAACUAAAAAAGAACUGGGUCUAUGAAACUAUUCAAUAAAAUUAUCAGACAAGACAAUGUCUUUAGUCUUUUGAAAUACUAUGUACUAUUUAAUGUUAAAUUCAUAUAACUUUGUCUUUAGGAAGGUUAAAGGGUAGUUCUUUCUUAUUCUCAUACAUGUGGACGUUUUUCAUACUGCUUUUUCUUUUGAUAUAUUUCAAAACUGAAGUGAAGGUUUUUCCACACUGCAAAAAAUGACUUUCUUGCGUAGUAUUUUUGUCUUGUUUUCAGUAGAAGUGUCUAAAAGUUCUACAAUUAAGAUGUAUUUUCUUGAU